GAUGAACGCUAGCGAUAGGCUUAACACAUGCAAGUCGAGGGGCAGCACAAGGUAGCUUGCUAUCUGGGUGGCGACCGGCGCACGGGUGCGUAACGCGUAUGCAACUUGCCCUAUACAGGAGGAUAACCCGUCGAAAGACGGACUAAUACUGCGUAUGCUCACAACUUGGCAUCCAGUGGUGAGGAAAGAAAUUCGUUAUAGGAUAGGCAUGCGUCCCAUUAGCUUGUUGGUGAGGUAACGGCUCACCAAGGCAACGAUGGGUAGGGGAACUGAGAGGUUUAUCCCCCACACUGGUACUGAGACACGGACCAGACUCCUACGGGAGGCAGCAGUGAGGAAUAUUGGUCAAUGGGCGCGAGCCUGAACCAGCCAAGUCGCGUGAAGGAUGACUGUCUUAUGGAUUGUAAACUUCUUUUAUACGGGAAUAACAAGAGUCACGUGUGACUCCCUGCAUGUACCGUAUGAAUAAGCAUCGGCUAACUCCGU
rnacentral:rRNA from 1 species